AUUGAACGCUGGCGGCAGGCCUAACACAUGCAAGUCGAACGAGUGGCGGACGGGUGAGUAAUGUCUGGGAAACUGCCUGAUGGAGGGGGAUAACUACUGGAAACGGUAGCUAAUACCGCAUACCCUCGGAUGUGCCCAGAUGGGAGUAGCUAGUCGGUGGGGUAAAGGCUAACCUAGGCGACGAUCCCUAGCUGGUCUGAGAGGAUGACCAGCCACACUGGAACUGCGACACGGUCCAGACUCCUACGGUAGGCAUCAGUGGGGAAUAGUGCACAAUGGGCGCAAGCCUGAUGAAGCCAUGCCGCGUGUAUGAAGAAGGCCUUCGGGUUGUAAAGUACUUUCAGCGGGGAGGCGUUACCCGCAGAAGAAGCACCGGCUAACUCCGUGCCAGCAGCCGCGGUAAUAC
rnacentral:rRNA from 1 species